GACGAACGCUGGCGGCGUGCUUAACACAUGCAAGUCGAACGGAAAGGCCCUGCUUUUGUGGGGUGCUCGAGUGGCGAACGGGUGAGUAACACGUGAGUAGCCUGCCCUUGACUUUGGGAUAACUUCAGGAAACUGGGGCUAAUACCGGAUAGGAGCUCCUGCUGCAUGGUGGGGGUUGGAAAGUUUCGGCGGUUGGGGAUGGACUCGCGGCUUAUCAGCUUGUUGGUGGGGUAGUGGCUUACCAAGGCUUUGACGGGUAGCCGGCCUGAGAGGGUGACCGGCCACAUUGGGACUGAAAUACGGCCCAGACUCCUACGGGAGGCAGCAGUGGGGAAUAUUGCACAAUGGGCGGAAGCCUGAUGCAGCAACGCCGCGUGCGGGAUGACGGCCUUCGGGUUGUAAACCGCUUUCGCCUGUGACGAAGCGUGAGUGACGGUAAUGGGUAAAGAAGCACCGGCUAACUACGUG
rnacentral:rRNA from 1 species